AUGGAGCGUUCUAAUCAGGCAAUUUGCAAAGGCACAGGAAACGAGCAGGGUCCUUAUGGCGGCUUCGGCUCGGACCUGGGGGGUGCAGGCGGCAGGAAGCUGGACCUGGGCCUCAUCAUGGAGCAGGUGAAGGUGCUGAUCACCGUGGCCAACACACAGGAGCUGCUGCAGAGGAUAACGGACAAGUGUUUCCACAAGUGCAUCGGGAAGCCGGGGGCUGCUGGACAACUUGGAGCAGAAGUGCCUCGCCAUGUGCCUAGACCACUACACGGAGCCCUGGAACACCAUGUCACGCGCCUACAACUCGAGGCUACAGCGGGAGCGCACCAACAUGUGA